GGCUUGUCAUGUUUGCUUGUUUGAAAUCAGUUUAGAAGAAAAAGUUAUAAAGCACUUUAGGGAUGCAUGUGGUUUCACUUGGAUUUAUUGCAGAAAAAUGUAUUUAUUUUAUAAUAAUAAGUCACAUCCUGAAUUGGUUUUUAGGCAGAGAGACCCAUUUGUGUUUCAAGAGGUAAAGCAAGAGUGAUGAUUGAGAGCUUAACAUAGACAUAAUCUCUAGCUUUCACUGAUUAGUUCUCCAUGGAUUUUUGCUAUGGAUUAAUGUACAGCUGCAAAAAUUUGCACAGCAAUCCUGAGCUAUGCAAUUUGAUGGCAGGCUUUAUUUUAGAGUCACUGUCCCUACAAAUAAUAAGGACAUAACAUAUGUCAGUUCUUGGUUUACACUUUUAUUUGGAUAUAUAAGCAAAGAGAAGACAGCCUAAAGUUACAAGGAAGCCAACACAGAUAAAAUCUGACAGUGAGAUACCUUAGUAAGCAAGUUGGAUUAUAAAACAGUUGGUGUUAAGGUAGCUUCAGGGCAGUGAUUGGAUAUGAGUUGUACCUAAAAUAUUGGGUUAAAUUAGAUGAGAAUUGUGUAUUUUCAUUAGGCACUGAGGUGGCAUGAACAAUGUAAACAAGAUAUGUUUAUGAGCAGUAGACAAAGCCUGGUGGAACAAAGUGGUCAUGCUUGAAAGAAGUAUAACAUAAGGAUGGAAUGAAAUUGAAGCACAACUAUGUGAAGGAUAUGUUAAUGACUGAAAAGUUUUGAAACAUAUUGUAAAUGGUAAAGGUUUUUAUUGGUUUUAGGCUUUGCAGAUAGCUAAUGAGAAAAAAAUUCAGAAUGACAUGCACUGUUUUUUCUUCUAGGAAAAGAAAUUCAUGAACAUUGGGAAAACUCAUUCCAUAAGAACAGCUGAUUCUAAACUGAGAAAAUGGAGCAGAAAAUGGGCAAUGUUCCAGUCUCUUUGACUAUAUGGACACGAAAGAAUUAAAUUCAAUUGCAGUUGUCAAAUCACUUGCUGGGAGUGGAGGAAGGAGCUGUUUAUACUGCUCUCCUUUAAUUGACUGUAGGAUAGAAGGCACAGUUAUGCCAGCAUGGCUUUGAGGGGAAGACCUGAACUGGUAAGACAAUAUUACCUACUGCUGUCCAAAUCCCUUAUGAUUAUGGAAAAUCAUGGCUUCAAAUAUUAAAAUGUAGUAUAGAGAUACUCAGGAAACAGCACCAUUAAAUAAAUGAUUAUGCCUUUCAGUAGACAAAGUGAGGGGAAAUCAGCAAAGUCCUCUUAUGAUGUACAAUAGGAGUAAAGGGUUUAAAAACACAAGGCUUAGCACAAGGUUAACACACAGACCAGAGACUACUGUUGGUUAGAGAAAUAAAGAGAUAUUAGUCAAGCAAAGGACAACAGUAUUUGGAAGAGGGAGAUAAAGAGUGUUCUAGACUCAAGUACAACAUGAGAGAAGAUGCAAAAUUGAUGGAGACAACAGUGCAUUACAGAAACUGAAAGACGUGUACUGUGUCAAGACAUGGGUCUAGAAAUGAAUAGACAAGUGUCAAGGUUUGUUUUUAUAGCAGCAAUAAUAAACUUUUUCCCAUGUAAUAGAAAAGUACUUAAAGUGCUAAUCACAAAAUGAAUUCUUUCCAGAUAUCUGUAUAUGUACAAAGAAGAUAUUCUUUAAAAUAAUUUUAUUAGGUAAUUUGCCCUACCUAAUAAAAUUUCUAUUAUCCUUUCCUUGCCACAUUCAACCUAAAAUAAGCUGACAUAUACAGUUUAUAAGAAUGGAAAACUUUGAUUCUGACAGAAUGAUUUAAUACCCUUUUUUACCUUUUUUAAGGCUGCGCCUACAGCAUAUGGACAUUCCCAGGCUAGAGGUACGAUUGGAACUGCAGCUGCCAGCCUUCACCACAGAGACAGCAACUUGGGAUCCAAGACACAUUUGCAACCUACGCCACAGCUCAGGUCAAUGCCGGAUCCUUUAACCCACUGAGUGAGGCCAGGGAUCAAACCUGUAUCCUCAUGGAUGCUAGUUGGUUUCGUAAACCCCUGAGCCACAGUGGGAACGUCCAAUACCUUUUUUUUUUUAAUUGAAAACACUAUUUAACUGCUUGCUAUGUGAAAAAUUCUGUGCUAGUUACUGGAGAUACACAGAUAAAAAAAAAUUAAUCAGAUAAAGUACAAAGUCUGGAAGGUGAGAUCCAUUCAUAAACAAGUCAUGUAAAGAGGAAGUUGAGUUAGCAAAGGGUGGAAAACCAAGAAAAUAACCAUGGUGCUUAGAGUUCUUCAGUGCUCAGUGUAAAUAUUGGUUUGUGAGGAAAAUCACUGAAUUUCUUUCCUUUCUUUUCUUUUUUUUUCUUUUUUUUUUUUUUUAGGACUGCACCCAAGGCAUUUGGAGGUUCCCAGGCCGGGGGUUGAAUCGGAGCUGUAGCUGCUGACCUGUGCCACAGCCACAGCAAUGCAUGAUCUGAGCUGCAUCUGCAACCUACACCACAGCUUACCGCAACCCUGGAUCCUUAACCCGCUGAGCAAGGGCAGGGAUCGAACACAUGUCCUCGUGGAUGCUAGUCAGAUUCAUUAACUGAAGGGAACUCCAAGAUCACUCAAUUUCGAUUCACUUAAUAUUUGGUGAAAAGUUCAUUGACAGAAUUAGCUCACAAACUGAAACAAAUUUAAAAGAACAGGGGAAAAUCACAGAGCAAUAUAUAGCAGAAAAAACAUGGACACUGGGAUCAAUCAGAUAUAAGUUGAAAUAAUUAGUAAUUGGGUAUUCUUAGAUAUAACAGGAAAUGUAACAUAUUCUUUGCUCUUAUGGAUCUUAUUUUAGUGGGGAAAUUGACACAAUAAACAAAUAGUUAUAAUAUCAGGCAAUAUAUGAUACAUGGAGAAAAAAAUUGGUUUAGGGCCUGGGGAAUAUUGGGAUGUAUGUCAGGAAACAGUCCUUUGUGACAUUUAACAAAGACCUCCAGUAGGUCAGGGAGCCUUGCAGGAAUGUGAUAGCUGUAGUGUUGUCUGAGCAGAGAUAAGAGCAAAGGGCUUCGAUGCUAAAGGAGGUCAGAUUUUCUAUGUUCCAUGAAAAGGCUAGGCUCAAUAUUAGGUGUUCAAUAAAUUUAAGAUGAAAUAACCCUACAAAUCCAUAGUAGUAUAUCUGCAUAUUCAAAAAACUGUUUCCAUCCCAGAGCAAAAAAUCUCAAAAAAAUAAGACACUAAAUAUUAAAGCCAAAGAAGAUUGUAUGAGAAAUGGGUCCAACCACUUCAAUUUGCAGAUGAGAAAGCUCUAUGCAGAGCAGCAAAAUUAUUGGCAGAAUAUGGCUAGGACUAGAAAUUAUGUCCCUUCAGUGAUAGGCAGCUUAUCCUUUUCCCAUUGUCCCUUCUGACACAUGAAAGUUCCCAGAAGUUGUCUUGAUAUAACAUCUAGCUUAGUACUGAAUGUAAUAAGCUGCGUGAUUAAUGCACCUUGUUCAAAAUGACAUGACAAUUCAGAACCUGCAUGUCAUUUUCUCCAUGAAAGACCAUAUAUAUUUUACUUAGGGCAGAAAAGCCAAUUUUUCCACAAUAAAGCUGCCUUAUACUUAGGCCUCCAAUAUGAGAAGCAUGAAAAUAUUUUUUUUUAAUCUAGGGAAAAUUGGAUCAUAUUUUUGGAAGGAACUUCAGCUACUCUCAAAAAAUCAUUGCUCAAUAGGUUCCCUUUAACUCUCGAGGAACACUUAAAAUGACUAAGGCUGACCUUUUGCUUAUUUUUUUAGUUUUCUGAAACAUGAAUCAAUUUGUCAUCUUUUAUUCCUUUAGUUUUUAUUUUAAUUUUUGUGAAUUUUCUACAGGACGUCUUUCCUCAGCAGCAUUGUUUGAAUCACUCACAUCUCCUGAAGUUCCGUUAUUAUUGCUUCACUCCCCAACUACUACACCUGGGCUGGCUUGCUGCUGCUGAACUGGCUUUGCGACUCAUGUGAAAUUCAGGGCCUGCUACUCUUCUAGCUCUGCUCUUCCAGAAAACAUUAACAUGUGCUUGUCAACAUCUCAUUAAAAUAAGUGAUCUUGACACAGAUAUUAAUUAUAUUCUGGAGUUAAUCAAUAUAUUUCUAUUGAUGACAGGUAAUCAAUACCCUUCAAGUAAGUUUGCAUUGCUUUCAUUAUCUUUUACAUAUAUAUAUAUGCAUGCAUGCUUUGUUAUAAAAAUUUGCAAAUUCUUAAAGAAAAAAUGAUAAAUGGUGGUAGCUUCUGGCCUACAAAAAGACAAUUUAACUCAUAAUAUAGUUUUAUUUGUUUAUUUAUUUAUUUAUUUAAUUUAUUUUAUUAUUAUUUUUUUGUCUUUUUGCUAUUUCUUGGGCCAACUCCCGCGGCAUAUGGAGGUUCCCAGGCUAGGGGUCGAAUCGGAGGUGUAGCCACCGGCCUACACCAGAGCCACAGCAACGCAGGAUCCCAGCCGCGUCUGCGACCUACACCACAGCUCACGGCAACGCCGGACCCUUAACCCACUGAGCAAGGGCAGGGACCGAACCCGCAACUUCAUGGUUCCUAGUCGGAUUCGUUAACCACUGCGCCACGAUGGGAACUCCUAUUUGUUUAUUUUUAUUUUUAUCUUUUUAGGGCUGAACCCAUGGCAAAUGGAAGUUCCUAGGCAAGGAGUCUAACUGGAGCUGUAGCUGCCGGCCUACACCACAGCCACAGCAACACCAGAUCCUAACCAUGUCUGAAACCUAAACCACAGCUCACAGAAACGCUGGAUCCUUAACCCACUGAGUGAGGCCAUGGAUCAAACCUGCGUCCUCAUGAAUGCUAGUCAGAUUCACUUCCACUGAGCCACAAUGGGAACUCCACAACAUAGUUUUAGUAUAAAAUGAAUAAAGCCAGUUCUGAGAUUUCAAUCCUGAGAGGAAAGAUAUUUUCUGUAGAAAGAGAAAAACACAUAAGCAAAAAGGGAGAGACAUGGUGAGGAGAUUUUGUUAUCUUACCCAAUUCCCAGCUUUAGAAAUGGCAAUGUAAUUCCAUAGCAGUGAAAUUUCUUAUUUUUUACUUAUUUACUCUUUUUCCUGAGAGCUAGUGGGUCAGUGGGUUUAUCUAGGAGUCAGAGGUUCUAGUGACUGUAAUAAAUUAAAGAUGAACCCACAUUCUUCUAAAUUUUUCCCAUUAAUAGGCAGGAUCUAACUCUCCCCCCUUGAAACUGGGCAGAGAUUUUGACUACUUGCCCAACAGAAUACUGUGAAGGUGAUAACACUAGCUUCCAUACCUAGAUUUAAGAAAUUUAGGCAGCUACAACUGCCUCUUUUUUGAAUACUCAUUCUUGGAUCCCAAUAGUCAUGCUUGGAGGAAGUUCAAAUAGUCUUUUGGAGAGACUCUUGUUGGAAUAACUGAGGUGUAUGACAGUCCCAGCUGACAGCCAGCAACAAUUUUCCAGCCGUAUUGAAUGAGCCCAUGUUGGAAAAAGCAUCUUCUUGCUCCAGUCAAGCUGAAAUGAACCAGUGAUGAGAUCCCCCUAACAACACCUGUAUAAAUGGCAGGCU
rnacentral:lncRNA from 1 species